rnacentral:rRNA from 1 species
UACGGGGGGGGCAAGCGUUGUUCGGAAUUACUGGGCGUAAAGGGCUCGUAGGCGGCCAACUAAGUCAGACGUGAAAUCCCCCGGCUUAACCAGGGAACUGCGUCUGAUACUGGAUGGCUUGAGUUUGGGAGAGGGAUGCGGAAUUCCAGGUGUAGCGGUGAAAUGCGUAGAUAUCUGGAGGAACACCGGUGGCGAAGGCGGCGUCCUGGACCAAUACUGACACUGAGGAGCGAAAGCCAGGGGAGCAAACGGG